UCAUUAAUAUUACAAAAACUGUUUGUGUGACAUAUAUAUAACCUGGUAGCCAAGGAGAGUGGACUGGAAUGUGCAUGUGUGAACAAUGAUGACUUCACUGUACUUGUCAUUGG